UUAGCUCAUAUUUGUAUGGAAUGGGAUCGUUUGCGUACGUUUGCCGCUAGGGGUGCUGUUCCAACUGCAUACAAAAUUGGGUUA
rnacentral:pre_miRNA from 1 species